CUCGCCUAGCGCGCAGCCUCUGCCGUCCGGGGGCGCCUCCGGGGCGCCCUGGGGCUGCGGGGAAACCGAGGAUCGGAGUGCGGCCGGGGAGUGAGGCUCGAGGGCGGAGGCCCGGCGUGUCCCGACGCCCGUCCCGGGACGUUCUCUCCGCGCUCCGACUCCCGCCCGAAACAAUAUGAAGUUCACGCGAAUAACUGCCCCACGCGUACCCACGGACAGCGUUGCGCGCGGUCUGCGGCGCACGCACGUGGGACCACUGGCUUCCCGCCUCGUACAGCCGCGUCAACUGAGGCUCGGGUGUUCGACGCUGGCUCAGAAGGACGCCCAGCUGUCUCCAGGGACGUCCUGGGUUGUGCCCCGCCCGCAGGCGGGAGUUGGGGUGAAGAGGUGGAGGGGUCUUGCUGGGCUCUGGGGUACCGGAGACGUGACGCCGGGAUCUGGCAGUGAGAUCUGAGAUUCAGUCCGGAAGCCUCGGUUUACCGGAAGGAAGCUGUGGGGAUAUCUUGGUUAAUUUGUGGUCCCAAAACUCUCCCCUUUGGCCCCUCUCCUAGCCGCGCUAGGAGUUUAGAAGAGUCUCCAGCCCUCGCUCAUCUGUGGAUGUGCCAGCCCUUUCCCACUCCGUGCCUUUGCAUGGGCAAGUCAUCCAGUCCUCCUGAACAGCCCUUCCAGCCGUGGUUGCAGAACGUCCCAUGGAGGAGUGUGUGUGAU
rnacentral:lncRNA from 1 species